AUAGAGAGCUUGCUCUCUGAUGGCGAGUGGCGAACGGGUGAGUAAUAUAUCGGAACGUGCCCAGUAAUGGGGAAUAACUAGCCGAAAGGUUAGCUAAUACCGCAUACGACCUACGGGUGAAAGCAGGGGAUCUUAGGACCUUGCGUUAUUGGAGCGGCCGAUAUCUGAUUAGCUUGUUGGUGGGGUAAAAGCCUACCAAGGCAACGAUCAGUAGCUGGUCUGAGAGGACGAUCAGCCACACUGGAACUGAGACACGGUCCAGACUCCUACGGGAGGCAGCAGUGGGGAAUUUUGGACAAUGGGGGAAACCCUGAUCCAGCCAUCCCGCGUGAGUGAAGAAGGCCUUCGGGUUGUAAAGCUCUUUCGAAAGUGAAGAAAACUUAUUUCGUAAUAUGUUAUAAGUAUGACGGUAACUUUAGAAGAAGCACCGGCUAACUACGUGCCAGCAGCCGCGGUAAU
rnacentral:rRNA from 1 species